UGGAGAGGUGGCUGAGUGGUCGAAAGCGGCAGAUUGCUAAUCUGUUGUACGGCAGGCAACUCCGUACCGAGGGUUCGAAUCCCUCCCUCUCCGU
rnacentral:tRNA from 12 species